GGCCGGUUAGCUCAGUCGGUGAUUAGAGCAUGGUGCUGAUAACACUAAGGUCGAGGGUUCGAUCCCUGUUCAGUCCC
rnacentral:tRNA from 1 species